rnacentral:tRNA from 1 species
GCGGAUGUGGCGGAAUUGGUAGACGCGCCAGAUUUAGGAUCUGGUGCCGCAAGGCGUGGGGGUUCGAGUCCCUUCAUCCGCA